rnacentral:rRNA from 1 species
UAUCUCUGUAGAGUCUGCAUAUCAAUAAGCGGAGGAAAAGAAACUAACAUAGGAUUACCCUUAGUAACGGCGAGUGAAGCGGGAAGAGCUCAAAUUUGAAAUCUUCAAGGUUCUACCUUGACGAAUUGUAGUUUAAAGAAGUGUUUUCUGUUGAAGUUUUGGUAAAAGUUCUUUGGAAUAGGACAUCAUAGAGGGUGAGAAUCCCGUAUUUGACCAUUAUUUCCAGCUUUGUGAUACACUUUCAAAGAGUCGGAUUGUUUGGGAAUGCAGUCCAAAAUGGGUGGUAAAUUUCAUCUAAAGCUAAAUACUGGCGAGAGACCGAUAGCGAACAAGUACCGUGAGGGAAAGAUGAAAAGAACUUUGAAAAGAGAGUUAAACAGUACGUGAAAUUGUCAAAAGGGAAGCGUUUGACACCAGUGUUGUUUUCUCGAAAAUCAAUUAAAAAAUGGUAGGGAUUUUGUGUUGUAUUGACUUUAUCAGCUUUCUGCACUCUUUUCCUGUCUUUUUUAAUGCACUUUUCGUUUAACAAGUCAACAUCAAUUUCUUUUGUUGUAAAAGGGUCAUUGGAAGGUGGCUUUCUUUUCGGAGAAAGUGUUUAUAGCCUUUGGACUUCUGCAAUCGGAGAGAUUGAGGUCUGCAGCGUAGAUCCUUCGGGGUUAGAUACAUUUGUGCUAAGCUAUAGCCUUUCAUAGACAACUUGUUGACUAUGAUCAGUCAUGUAGCUUACUCGCUUAUGUCUAUUUUACCUACGCUUAGGAUGUUGAUGUGAUACUGCGAGC